AUACUUAUUUGGCAGGAGAGAUACCAUGAUUAUGAAGGUAGUUUUCCCAGGGUAAGGCUUAUCCUUUGCAUUAUAGAUGUGCUGACCCCUCCGAUUUCCCCAAAUGUGGGAAACUUGACUUCAUAAUUUGUGGUAGUGAGGAGCUACAUUCACCCUCU